rnacentral:rRNA from 1 species
AGUGAAUAGAUACCCGGGUAGUCCACGCCGUAAACGAUGGAUGCUAGCUGUUAUUCGUAUCGACCCGAGUAGUAGCGAAAGCUAACGCGUUAAGCAUCCCGCCUGUGGAGUACGGUCGCAAGACUAAAACAUAAAGGAAUUGACGGGGACCCGCACAAGCGGUGGAGCGUGUUGUUUAAUUCGAUGAUAAGCGAAGAACCUUACCAGGGUUUGACAUCCUGCUAAUUUUCCGAAAGGAAAGAGUGUCUUCGGACCGCAGUGACAGGUGAUGCAUGGCCGUCGUCAGCUCGUGUCGUGAGAUGUUUGGUUAAGUCCAUCAACGAGCGCAACCCUUGUAACUAGUUGGAUUUUUCUAGUUAGACUGCCCCGGUAACGGGGAGGAAGGAGGGGAUGAUGUCAGGUCAGUAUUUCCCUUACAUCCUGGGCUACAAACACGCUACAAUGGCCGGUACAAAGGGCAGCCAAGUCGUGAGACGGAGCAAAUCCCAUCAAAGCCGGUCUCAGUUCGGAUUGCAGGCUGAAACUCGCCUGCAUGAAGCUGGAA